rnacentral:pre_miRNA from 1 species
GGUGAAGUGUGCAGUAAUUAGUGCCAGGUAGGUUAGAUUUCCAGUGUCUCGAGUUAAUCCGUCAGCGAGGUAUAGAGUUCCUAUGCGUUCGGAUAAAAUAUUCCAUAGGAACUUCAUACCGUGCUCUUGGAUUGCUUGGAAGUCAUCGAGAGGGUAAUGGUGGAAGUUCGUGGCUAAUUUGUAAAUCAUC